AUGAGGGAAGACAAAGGGACAACCCCCCCCACAAUACAGCAACGUGGAGUCUGCAGGAAAACUCAGUAAAGCAAUGUGGAAAAAGAAUACUCCAAAGUGGCAUGAACUAUACACUGAGUUCAUCACAGCUUCAUUUGUAUUCUUCACUUUACUCAGCAGCAUCCUCAGCACUUACUGUGCCCGUGACAUCACCUGAGAGAAACUUCUAAAGGCUCUGUGGGACAUACACUUGCUAGUAAGACGUUCUGAUGGCAAAAGGUUUGUGCAAGUAUAACUCAGAGUGUAAGCUGGUCUGAAGAAUCUGAAUUGUUGUUGAUGAAGCAGAAGUAGAGUUGAGGGUGAGAUUGUGAGCUAGAAAAAUACAUCUUUUAUUCUAGACAGAAAUAAAUCUGGUAUUUGCAUCUGCAGGAGAAUGAACUGGCAGCCCAAAGUGACUUAGUGCUGAAUAACUUUUCCAAUAACUAUCUGAGCUGCAAUGGGAUAAUAAUGCACCAGGUUUUACAGGGCAAGAGUUAGUGAUUCAGUCUCUGUGUGAUGCAGGUGGCUCCUACUCCACCCACAUAUAAAAGAGGAUGGUGUGACUCCUGUAAGGACAGAUGAGCCUUUGCAAUUGAGAAGUUUGAAAGCAGUCAAAUUGCAAGAGGUUUAAGGUUCUGUUUUCUGUGAAUCCCUUUUAAAGACAGGAAAGCUUAGGAAGGGGGCAACUGUGGAAAUUUUGGUGGAAAUGCUGGUGAUAGUGCAGGGUAAGAGAUAGCCUGUUGUAUGAUCAUACCAACACAUGGACCAGAAUGCAACUUCACAGAGCUUUUAAAGUCGCAAGGAUGUUACAUUUGAUGGGUUCUUGUUGGGGAUGAGGGUGUUGCAGAGAUGGCUUCAGGCUGCCAAGUUGUACAAUUCUACUUAGAUGGCUUCAUAUCAAGAAAUAGUUAUGAAUGGGGAAACUUACUGUACAGAGCAGCCCACUAAACUGUACAGAGCAGCAAAACUAGCUCCCUCUUUUGGUCUGCUGGAAAUAAUGAAGAGAAACAAGUUCUAUAGUUGCAUAAGAACAAUUUGACUUUCUUACACAAGAACAAAUUGUCUAUUGCUUCCCUAAGUAAUCACCUUUCCUAAGCAAGUUGUGUUUGUUACCUGCCAUUUUGUCUGGUCACUAAUAAAUAGCUGGUGUGCACAGAUGGAUGGGUUUACUGUCCUUGUUAGAAAGUUAAGUAAUAGUGGUGUUAUACUUCAUACUUCAUGUACUUUUGUGGUAAUGGAAGAGUAUUGGAAGUAACCCCAUACAGACAAAACUGACAAUAAGGAACAAGUUAGCAUAAAAAACUUGGCCUUCCAUCCGGGUGUGUCAUUUCCUUUGGGCUGGAAGUUUUCCCCAUCUUGUAUUUAAGAGAUAAAAUAUUUGUCUGACUUGCUUAGAAACUUCUGUCAGCUGUGGGAGCACAUCCCAUUAUUCACUGAAUUAGUGGAUUCGUCUGGAGUUUCAAAACUAAGCAAAAGCUCAUUAAAAGAAUAGGGCCAAGUCCUUGAACUCUGUCUUCAAUAGUGAGAAUAUAUUUUAGGUAGUGUAAGAAAGUAUCCUAUAGUCUGAAAUCACAUCCCUAACUAUCUUAGACGGCUGGAGAUUUCAGGAAAAACCACCCUUGUAUAAUAGUCUUUCAUGCUGUGUUUUCAUAAAGUCUGAGGCAGCUCAAUAAAGAAGCUCCAACGUGAUGUAUUUUAA